rnacentral:rRNA from 1 species
UGUUUAGGAGUGAAAAGCUAACCGAACCUGGAGAUAGCUAGUUCUCCCCGAAAUGUAUUGAGGUACAGCCUCGGAUGUUGACCCUGUCCUGUAGAGCACUGACAAGGCUCGGGGGCCUACCAGCCUACCAACCCUUAUCAAACUCCGAAGGGGCAGGUGUUUAAAUCCGGGAGUGAGGCUGCGAGAGCUAACUUCCGUAGCCAAGAGGGAAACAACCCAGACCGCCAGCUA